AAGACCACCAAUAAUCUCCCUCCAUCUGGGGCAUCUGCAAGAUCUCACCCUGUAGGGUCAAAAUCCUCACAAGAAAGGUGAGCAAAAUCCCAGAACCUCAAGGGGGGACCUAGUGAAUGACCUACAGCUGGGACCAAAGUAACAAAAGCUACCAUCAGUAACACACUAGAACUGCCAGGGAAUCAAACCCUAAAGACCCUCUGUUAUAAACCAGUACAGGUCCAGUCUUGUCUGAGGUUUCUUGAUGAUCCAGAAGAGUAUUGGGAGAAGGUCAAAUGGUCAGAUAAAAACCAUGUCAGUUGAAAGUCCCCAGCAACAGCCCCAAAACACCACACUUCUAGAGGAGAUCCGCAUGGAGGAAUGGACCAAAAUACCAACAGCGGUUUGUGAAAACCUGCAAAAACCAAAAAGCCCAAUGUCAUUACCAAAAAGGGAUCACAAGUGGCACAUACUUGUGUGACAGACAGGGCUGUGGGUGGUAGUUUGUCCCUCAUGGUGUUCCAUGGAUGAACAUUCAUGGCCAGCACCUGUCUGUUGAGCUGUGAUUGGCUCACAAGGCUGAUAAACAGCAGCAGUGGGAGUUCCAUCUAGGUGCUGGUUUCCUGGUUUGGCCUUGGUGGGUGAGCUUGACAUGUGGACCUUUUUUACUAAAGCUUUUAAUCAUUUGAGUCCUUUUAAAGUUUUUAAGCAUUUGAGUUUGCAAGAUUUUAAACUCUAUUCAUAUUAACAGGUGGUGGCAUGAGUUCUGACCCUGGGGCAUGAGAGGUAAAAUAAGGGUUUGCAAAACAUGUGUUUGUCCCAGGGGAGAACUAACUUAUUUUUCUUUUUCCAGCAGAGUUGCCACUGCUGUUUUGCUUAGUGUUUUUAGUCAUUGUUUUUAAUGUUUUAAUCAAGCUUGACACCCUUGCUUUUAUCCAUUUUUAAACUGUUGUGCUCAUUUUUAGUAUCUUGGUGUCUGGACCUGGCUGAGGGUGGCUGCCUCCUCCUUUUAUCCUUAUGGUAGCUGGUACUCCUGGUGAGAGUUGGAUCAGAGAUCUCCCUUGGUGGUGUUGGUGGCUACCCGCCGGUGCAGUGGGACUGAGGCGAUCCUGGAGGCAGCCGCCCUCAUGCAGUGUUGGAGUGCGGUCCAACUGUCCGAGCCCAUUUUAACUUUCUCUUUUAUUGAACUUGUGUCAAGUUUUUAAUGUUUUUAACCUAUCAAAUCCAGUCUCCGUUUGGGUUACAAAUGUAAGAGGGCGUUCGGUCACACUUGCAUAGCUCUUUUCUACCUUCCUUGAAGGCCCUAAGCGCUUUGAAGUCCCAUUCACACACUAAUGUGUGGUGGGGUUAAGUGUCAUGCCCAAAGACACUUCGACACAUGGUCGAGUGUUGGAGUUUGUGUUGGUAUCAUUUGCUCACCUGCUGUUAUCACCCUAACAUGAUUGUCUCUCAGUUCUGUCUUUCAGUGAGAAAACACGGACAUGUGAAGUGAUGAUUAUACAAGAGAUGGUGUUUCUGUUCUGACUGAUUGAAAAGCCACUUUCACGUAAUCAACCCCGGCCUACAAUAAAUACAGACUCCAUACACCGUGAAAGCGGGACUCCUCUAUUCCAGUUUGCACUGUGACAGACGGGUUCUCCUUUUGCAGAUGUCUAACAAAAAUUCUUGCUUCCUGUGUGGUUCCUCUCUUUGUUAAGGAAUAGUCAAAACCCCGACAGCAAGCAAGGUGGGAAUCAAACCUGCAAUCGUCUGAUCAGAGGUCGACCACCCUAUCAAUGCUUAACAAAGUACUAGUAAUAAUAUGAAUUUUUGUUAUUGAAUAAAUAUUUAUUUUCCACUAAA